UACGUAGGGCGCAAGCGUUGUCCGGAAUUAUUGGGCGUAAAGAGCUCGUAGGCGGUCUGUUACGUCCGCUGUGAAAACCCAGGGCUUAACCCUGGGCUUGCAGUGGAUACGGGUAGACUAGAGGCAGGUAGGGGAGAAUGGAAUUCCCGGUGUAGCGGUGAAAUGCGCAGAUAUCGGGAGGAACACCGGUGGCGAAGGCGGUUCUCUGGGCCUGACCUGACGCUGAGGAACGAAAGCGUGGGGAGCGAACAGG
rnacentral:rRNA from 1 species